GAAAUAAUGGCACUAGCUAACAUUAGUAGAGACACUAAUACACAAAAAUACUUUAUAUAACCCACCAACUAUAAUGACAUGGUUUAACAUUUAAAGAUGAUAUUGAUCACUUACAUCCAGACCAUUUGAAAUGAGUGAAAUAUUGACUUAAUCCGCAGAAAAACUUGGAGACACACAGGAGUAGAGGAAGAAAGAGCUGUCUCUGGCCCCCACAAUAAGCUUUUAUUCAUACUAAGACACAUGCAAACACACACACAUACGUCUCCUUCAUUGUCUUUCCACCUGCUUCAUAUGUUUUCUGGCCCACACCCUGGUGCACCGUGCUAACAGACUCACACAUGUAUUGCUGUGAGAGAGCACUGCAGGCACAGGGGCUCAGAUGAGAUGCCAGCUGACAGUCAGUUAUUUUAGGCGCUGCACUGUGUGCACCUAAUUGAGUACGUUAGGUACAAGUCAGAAGCUCAUAUAUGCAUGUGUGCACACACACUGAAAACACACCACACACACACCUGCUUGUACACAGAGCCAAGCAAGCGUGAAUGCAUGCAUAGUCCGUCUGGAUACAUUUGUUUGGACGUUUGGACAUUCUUUCUCAACAGCUCGGUUGUUUCAGGACUCUGUCCGUAUGGAUGCCUGGCCAUAUCGUGGAUGUCUUUGGAACAAUGACUUUGUAGAAUAGAAGAAUUUGUAGAAUUGGUAAAAUGUGUAUAUUUACAUGCAUGUAAUCUGCCCACAUAGUAUAUGGUUGGCUUAAAUUUAGGUCAUAAUUUGUCAAAUUGGCCGGCUCGCUUGUUUGUUAGUUUUUUUUUUAAAUAUCUCCAGCUGUUAGUUUCUUUUUACACUUCUUCUUUGUCUUUUUUCACUACACACCCAUGCUCAUGGCUGCAGUAGGAGAAGUAACAAUUAGCUGUCUUGACAGUUUACACAAUAAUAAUAACAAGGCUCAGGGAACAUAUGUGUACGUAUUGUAAUACUACAGUAUGCCACUGAGAGGAACUGACAGUGAGACUGGCCCUGUGAUGGUUAAUGGACAUAAGCAGAGUUAAUUUGGUUCGUACUUUAGCUUGGGGGCGGCUGACACACAGCAACAUUUGGAGGCGUUUUUCUGGCAACCUGCACGAGCUCUUGAGGAGCUACCAGUGCUUUUUAUGUGAAAACAGCUGUUUGCUGCAUGUGGUAAGAAGGUGGAAAACAGCAGAAAGACAAUCUGCUGAAAGAACCCCCUAUUUAAAAAACUAAAGCUAAUUUAUUGUACUUACAUACCGUAAUUUAACAAACAUUUGUUUAACAAAUCAUAUCUCUUCACAGUCUGUACAGCAUUUGUCACCAUGUGUCCUUAAACCCCUAAUUCAGAUAGGGAAAAAGCCUCAGGAAGAAGACCACAGGAGGGGCUUGUGUUCCACCACAGGCAGAUGUGAACCUGAAAAUCUUAAAGUAAGGACAAUCAGAACCCAGGAUGGGUUUGCCUCUACAAGUGAAAGCUCACAUUUCAUAGCUAUUUAGUUGCUAAUAACAAAUAUAUAUCUUACAGUAGUUCUUUUUUCAUUUUUUAAACGUACAUUUUUUACCAGUGGCAACUGAGCAACAUUAGCAUGCAUUUGAUGGGUUUUUUUUCAAUAGUUACAAAUUUCACCCUCCUUUUGUGUCUGAUUUGGUCUCCACACAUCCAAAGCUAAAACUUGUUUCAUAAAAACAAGUGUCAGGCAGAGAUUAAAGGGGCUAAGGGUUUUUAGUCAGCUUGGUGUCCUACAAUCAUGUUCAUGUGUAUCUGGUUGUGGGAAUGCUUGUUGUUAUGCCUGUGUAGGUGCAUGUGAGCUUUUUUUUGAGACCAUGACACAUUCACCAUCUAUUAUUGCUUUCUGGAGGUUGUACAAUGCAAGCUUUCUGUCGCUGCAGCUAUUGGAUCCAGUUUACCUGCCACACUGCAGUCUCCUGAGAUAUUCUGGGACUUUUCUAGAGCUAGCUCUCUCUUUUGGCCUGCGGUCUCUACUGGCAUUUUAAUAAUAACAAUAAAAAAAAUCUUCAUCUCUCUGACCUUAACAUGGUAUGAUGGAUUUCCUGAGAAGACGUCUCGUAAGUCUAGAAUUUGUCCUUCGGCGUGAAAGUCUGUCUCUCUGGCUCUUGAUGUGAUGUAUGUGCUAGGCUGUGUACUCACUGCAGUAAGAUCCAUCUGCAGCGUCUGACAGCAGGUUGAGAAACAGAACAAAAGAUCAGGAUGCUUCAGUACAGGUAGCAGCUAAUUACGUGCUGUUUUGUUUUAGAAGACCAUGAGCAAGUGAUGCACAAGCAUAUGUAAAUGUCUAUGUAAAUGUGUUCUAGCAAUACAGGUUGAAAGUCAAAAUGUAUUGUGAUCCUGCUUCUCACGACAGCAGCAUUAAUAUGGUUUUAACUGAUAAGAGUGUCUACACGAAAUGGCUCAAAAAUCUUCAGAACCUGAGGCGUGAAGCAAUUUUGCAACCAAGUGCCCGACCAUAUGACAAUAAUCAUCCUACACUACAGAGCGCUGCUGACAGGGAACUAAUGCAAAACAUUUUCAAGCAACAAAUGAGACUCCCAGGGCCCCUCCCCCAACAAAUUAAAAAUAAAAAGUUGCCUUGUGUGUCCUUACCUCUUAAAACUGCAGAUACAGUAUGUACCAUCUUCUCCACGACACAUUCAGGGCCAUGUUUUGGUAAAGGCAGCCUUGUGCCUUGCUUCACAAAAAUAAGGCCAGCAGACUCAGGUUGGGACAAAACGACAGGGGUGCAUUUUUAGCACAGUGCAAAGACGAGGGGUGGGAAAUGCUUAAGUUAGAGUGUUUCAGUUUGAAUCCAAUCAGAACUGUGUCGUUUUUUCAGCAAUGAAAAGCUUCUCCUUUUUUUCUCUUUUCUUUUUUGUUGUGCGGGCAGCUUCAGCACGGAUUCCCGGUUGCCCGGGCAACAGGGAACAGUGUCAACACCCGCCGGUAGCAUAAAUGUGUUCGCUUUUACAUUAGCAUAGCAUAGCCAUGAGUUAUUUUUAUUCUUUGUGUCUUUGGAGCUGAACAAAAAAAACCAAAAUAAAACCCCAAAAAAGCAAAAAUAAAAGAAAGAAAGAAAGAAAAAACAAACAUGUCUUUGAUUAAGUGAUCAAGAUUAAAUAUGAGUAUUUUUUUUGUUGUUACUUGUUCCUAUUUGUUCAUUAUUUUGGCUUCCAGUUGUUUGUCUUGUGGAUUGAGGUCGUGAGGUGACAGAUGUGUUGUAGUGUUGUCCAGAUCUGAGCUGGGUUCCCCAAAGUGUUUGUCACUGGUUUGGUGUUCUUGCAAAGCUUUGCUUGGGCUGAAAAUAUAUUUUAAUAGACAUACACAGACUAAAAAAUAUAUAUCUUUAUUUUUUACCAUGUGGGUCAGAUGAGAUGUGUAGAAGCACACUUUGUAUAUUUCUGACAAGGAUACUAUGUUUGUUGGAAUAUAAAAGCCUACAAAGGUUAUGAGUGCUAUUUUAUGAGUACUUCAAUUUCUUGAGUGGGUUUCAGCGAAAUGUAGAAAACAUUCUGUGACUGAAACAAGAUGCUUCUACUGUCACCAUCUCGGAGACCACUGGCCUUUCUGUGCGUCUGUCAUUUUCACUGCUCGGCAUCAAAGUAUAAACUAGUUUGUACAGACAUUUUGGGAAACACAAACCCAGAAUCCACUCUCCUGUUCUGAUCUCUCUCUCUCUCGUUCCCUGUACUGUGCUGUUUCCCUACAGUGAUUGACAAAACCUGGUAAACUGCUUUGUGGUCUCAGUAUUGCCAUGUGCUCUGUAUUUGCAAAUGUGAUUUGGGAGGCCUACUAAAAGUUACCGAAUGUACUGAAUGUGAUAAGACAGAAGACGAGACGUGGGGAUGGAAGCUUUCUACACUCUCCCAGGCAUAAGUGGGAAUGUGCAACAGUUAAAUAGAACCUUGUUUAUGCUAUACUGCUUUACACUUACAAUGACAGUGUAAACAUGUAGUCAUAGAAUCACACCAUACAUAAAAACUAUGCACUUACAUGGCUUCACCCUCAAGUGACACUAACACUAGCAAGAGUCAGAUAUGAGUCCAAUUCAGCAACAAUUAAAUUCAAUGUCACAACUGUAAAAAUACAAAUAUAAUAGAGAGAUUUUACAUCAUAAUAUACAGUACUGUUUUAUUAAUUCAGGUUCACUGACCGAGUUAUAACAUAUUGAUGUUAUUUGAUCCAAAUCCAGCCAUAACAUUCAGCGCAAUCAUUUAGGACUGCUGAUAAGUAGUGUUUACCCUAUGGCACCACAUAUUCACCCUUAAACACACUUCUUUAUAUGGUUGCUUGUUUCUUACAUCCUCGGCUGCAGCUCUUCAGCCACACAUACAUGACAACAACAAGAAAACUUGUUGGGUCCCGGCAAGUUUAAUAGGGGAUGCGUGAUGAGCUUCUCGAGCUCAGGUGUGUCUGCCUCCCCCGCAGCCGCGUCAUGAACCAUGCCCCGCCACACCCUAUUUUACACAUUAAAUUCUUUGUCUCAUUAUGCAAGUGCAUGAAAAACGCUUUGAAGUUAACAGUCAAAAUGAUAUAUUGGAAACCAGCAAGUCAUUUAAAUGGUUGCCAUUAAAAAAAUUAAGGGAACACUGGGAUCUCACAUCAGAUGAUGACGAGAUGAUGAAAAAUGCUUUGUCUCAUAUUUGAGUAACUAUUUUGUAAAUAUUUUGUCAAUAAUUAUAAUUAUUGUGUGUCUGAGAAUGACAUAUUCAUAAAAUUAAUACUCUUUACAGAUGUACUUGGCGUUGAUAACAAACACGCUGUAGACAUAAGGUUAUAAUUUAUCAAUAAUGGUCUGAGGAAACCAAAAUCAACCCCUUGAGAGCUCCCAAAAAUUUACAUUUUUAAAAUUGUUGUGUUAAGAGUGUUCCCUUAAUUUUUUUGAGAAUUGUUUAUAAAAAUAAGGCCUCGCUUAGUGCUGUCCUAGUGGCAGCCUGUUGUAGCAUGAUAUAUAUAUACAUAUACAUAUACAUAUAUAUAUACAUAUACAUAAAAUGAAAACACAUUUAGCACAUUUUAGAAAGGAUUUAACUUAACCCGCAGAUUUGAGUCAAGCCAAGUGACCUAACUGCCAGAAAUUAAAUUUUAGAUCAAUUCCUAAUGUCAAACUUGAAAUCAUGCCCUGGUGUCUUGCUCAAUUUCAACCAAAAUUUAACAUUUACUAGAAAACAGAUCACUUCAUUUUCAUUACCUAGUGGGGACAAUCUGUAACUGGUUUUAUAAUUGUAAAUUAUAAUGAAUUAAAUAACAUUUUAUUUAAAAUUGGCUGUUGCUAAUAGUUUAACAGUUCAGAGAACUGUUCAUUAAUUAGUUAAUAUUUAAAUGAGACGCUAGAGCUCGAGUUGGCUAACUUAGCUCAACAUAAAGACUGGAGGUCAGGGAUAAUGACUAGCUUGGGCCUUUCCAAUUAUUGGUGGCUGCAAAGGAAAGCUUAUUUAAUUUGACUUUUUAACAAAUAGUAAUUCAUUUACUGUAAAUAAUUUCUAUCCAUAAUAUUUCUGCCCUUUGCCAAGUAAUAGUUUAAGGUCACCUCUAACUGUAUUUGAACCUUACUGUUCUGGUACGAGUCAAACAAAAGAGUCUCAGAAUGUUAAACUAAAGACAGACACUCUUUGUUUCUACUCUUUAUGCUAAUCUCAGCUCUCUGGCUUUAGUGCCACUGUACACAAAGUGGUAUUGAUACUCAUAUCAAACAUACAUUUUAUUGAUUUGCUCACUCUGACUGGACUCAUACCUCUGACUGGGUUAGCCUAUUAGAUACAUUAGAAACAACCAUAGCUAGUCACUUGAGGGUUAAGUGUCACACAAGAGGCAGCAUGUUGUAUUGUGAUAAAGCUAAUGCUAGGUGCUUAUUCUGCACCACACAUGUACAAAGUUAUUAAGAAAUUAUUUCUUCUACUUGAUAAUCCCUCUAACAUCAAACAAGAUUAGGCUACUGCCUGUUUACAGGAGGAGGAGUGUUUCCUUUUCAUUCACCACUCACACAGAAAGAUAGAGGGCAUACGCCGGCAUUACUUUUCUUGUUAUAAUUCUGGUUAUAAUGAUGAAGUAAUCUUGGUGGUAUUCAUUGUUGUGGUUGUUGUUGUCACUGUAAUAGGUCAAUGUAACAUUGCAAUGUGUUUUAAAGUAAUGGUUGGGAUAAAAAACACAGUGAAUGAGAUUGUAUUAAAGAGCUGAGAGAAGUACGAGGCUAAAUUAGCUGAUAGGAUCGUGGAUGUACAAAGGGAAAGGCUGCCUCCCCUCACCAAAGCCUGCCAGACACAUUCUUACACCACCAGAUAAAAUCAGUGGGUUUUAAAAAUGAUAACAAGGAUUAACAAUGGGUUAGAGCACAAUCCAUCCAUCCUAUUAACAGCUGCAUGACUUUGGCUAAUAACUCAAUAAUGACAGAUUACAUACAAUAAGCUUUCCUAUCUUUCUGAGAGGAACAAUAAUACAACCAGAGUUACUUUGACUUUUAUUCUUCCAUUCCGAAUUCCUAAUUCAUGCUUUGAUGAUGAAGCCUAAAAAGAAUAAUUAAAAAGUUGGAGCCAUUCAGUGAUAUGAGCAGAUAUGGUUUUGGCUCUUGUAUCACAAAUGUUGUUACACAUUCAUUGGUCAAUGACUUGUUAAUCACAAGUCAAGCCAAGCCAUUGAGCCCUGUUUAUCUUCUUUUCUCACUCAAAUUUACAGAAAACACUUAAUUAUGAAUUUAGGAUGACUUGAAACUGGCGACCAAAGCUGCUGCCUCCUGCUGGCCAUUGGGGAAAAAUGCAGGUUUAAGGCAUUUCUAUACUGGCUUCAGUUUUCAGACCUUCUUUUAUAUAUAGUUUACCAGUAUUUACAUGUUGAAUUACACCAACCGAUAACAGUUUGCACCACACGCCUGUUCUGCAUGCACUAUGGGUGUAUCUUUGUUCAAUCUAAAUGAUCAUUUUGCUGCUAUAUCUUUAACAUUUAGCAUUAUUUGGGUGUCUUGAUUUGACGUGCUGUACAUGUAGCUGUAGCCAAAGUAAAUGUGACUGGCAGGCUUUGGUUUUCAGACCGAGUAGUUGCUGUGAAUCCAGUGCAGUAGUUCAGUGCCUAUACUAAAUGUGAGGUAGUGCCUCGACUAUGAAUCCUGUUCUAUAAUAAACAUUUUUGACUUGCUGUCUGAUUCCAUA
ensembl:lncRNA